rnacentral:rRNA from 1 species
AUUGAACGCUGGCGGCAGGCUUAACACAUGCAAGUAGAGCGAGAGGCGGACGGGUGAGUAAUGUCUGGGAAACUGCCUGAUGGAGGGGGAUAACUACUGGAAACGGUAGCUAAUACCGCAUACCAUCAGAUGUGCCAAGAUGGGAUUAGCUAGUAGGUGGGGUAAUGGCUCACCUAGGCGACGAUCCCUAGCUGGUCUGAGAGGAUGACCGUCCACACUGGACCUGGGACACGGUCCAGACUCCUACGGAAGGCAGCAGUGGGAAAUAUUGCACAAUGGGCGCAAGCCUGAUGCAGCCCUGCCGCGUGUGUGAAGAAGGCCUUCGGGUUGUAACGCACGUUCAGCGAGGAGGCGUUACUCACAGAAGAAGCACCGGCUAACUACGUGCCAGCAGCCGCGGUAAUUC